CGGGAAGAGCUCAAAUUUAAAAUCUGGCGGUGUAUUCCGUCCGAGUUGUAGUCUAGAGAAGCAUCAUCCGUGCUGGACCAUGUACAAGUCUCUUGGAACGGGACGCCAUAGAGGGUGAGAGCCCCGU
rnacentral:rRNA from 1 species